UACGGAGGGUGCAAGCGUUAAUCGGAAUUACUGGGCGUAAAGCGCACGUAGGCGGCUUUGUAAGUUAGAGGUGAAAGCCCAGGGCUUAACUCUGGAAUUGCCUUUAAGACUGCAUCGCUAGAAUCGUGGAGAGGUGAGUGGAAUUCCGAGUGUAGAGGUGAAAUUCGUAGAUAUUCGGAAGAACACCAGUGGCGAAGGCGACUCACUGGACACGUAUUGACGCUGAGGUGCGAAAGCGUGGGGAGCAAACAGG
rnacentral:rRNA from 1 species